GUCCACACAUGAGCAGUCGCGGAUUGGUGUCCCGCGGGCUCCUUGCCUCUCACAAUCAACCACCGAAGAGGCCAUCCUUCUUAGUUUUGUGCUCAUCCGUAUCUUUAGGCCAUCCUUUUAAGUCAUGUGCAUUGCGUGUGCCAUCUACCCAGCUCUGCAGGAAGUCAACGUACCCCAUGUGCCAGUUCGCCUCACCACCUCGAGCGGGAGGCACAACCACAAUGUGGUCGUCACGCACACCUUAACGACACAACCCUUGGGCCUCGUGCUAGCUAGGCUCCAGAAGUAUCACAAGCUCUCCCGAAUGCAGCAGACUUCGGGGACUUCGGCCCUAGGCCUAAACCUUGGUAGGUCAUUAAGCCACCCUCGUCGAGACAACGGUCGAUCCACCGAUGGGCCCCCUCCGCUCC
rnacentral:misc_RNA from 1 species